UACAGAGGGUGCAAGCGUUGUUCGGAAUUAUUGGGCGUAAAGGGCGCGUAGGCGGCCAUUCAAGUGACGGGUGAAAGCCCUCGGCUUAACCGAGGAACUGCCUGUCAGACUGGAUGGCUUGAGACCGGGAGAGGUGAGUGGAAUUCCCAGUGUAGCGGUGAAAUGCGUAGAUAUUGGGAGGAACACCAGUGGCGAAGGCGGCUCACUGGACCGGAACUGACGCUGAGGCGCGAAAGCGUGGGGAGCAAACAGGG
rnacentral:rRNA from 1 species